rnacentral:tRNA from 1 species
GGAGGGCGCAUGGCUCACUCGUAGAGCAUCUGCCUUGCAAGCAGAAGGUUCCAGGUUCAAUCCCUAGACUCUCCA